rnacentral:misc_RNA from 1 species
UUUCCGUAGGUGAACCUGCGGAAGGAUCAUUGUUAUAUAACAGAAGUUCUAGGCCUGUCGCUGACCCUAAAGGUCGUGCACGCGCGAGGGCCCUCACAAACAUCCAUAUCACCCCUAUGUGCAGCACCGCGGGGUUCGCCCUUUUGCUGGUUCGUAGCGGGGCUUGGGUUCUCGCACAAACUGUUUAGGCUCGUUGGAAUGUGUUUUUUUUUUUUGAGGUCACGCAAUUAAUUCAACUUUGAACAACGGAUGUCUUGGGUCUUGCAUCGCUGUAGAACC